UACAGGGGGUGCAAGCGUUGUUCGGAAUUACUGGGCGUAAAGCGCGGGCAGGUGGCCUUUUAAGUCCUUUGUGAAAUCCUGGAGCUCAACUCCGGAUGUGCAUAGGAUACUGGAAGGCUCGAGACUGGUAGAGGCGAGCGGAAUUCCUGGUGUAGCGGUGGAAUGCGUAGAUAUCAGGAAGAACACCGGUGGCGAAGGCGGCUC
rnacentral:rRNA from 1 species